CCUACGGGUGGCUGCAGUGGGGAAUCUUGCGCAAUGGGAGCAAUCCUGACGCAGCAACGCCGCGUGGGUGAUGAAGGUCUUCGGAUCGUAAAGCCCUGUCGGAGGGGAAGAUGCUUGUCGCAGCUAAAAGUGGCGGCAGGUGACGGUACCCUCAAAGGAAGCACCGGCUAACUCUGUGCCAGCAGCCGCGGUAAUACAGAGGGUGCAAGCGUUGUUCGGAAUUAUUGGGCGUAAAGGGAGUGUAGGCGGUUUGUUAAGUCUUCUGUGAAAUCUACGGGCUUAGCCUGUAACGUGCAGAGGAAACUGGCAGGCUUGAGUGUCGGAGAGGAUAGGGGAAUACCCGGUGUAGAGGUGAAAUUCGUAGAGAUCGGGUGGAACACCAGUGGCGAAGGCGCCUAUCUGGCUGACAACUGACGCUGAGACUCGAAAGCAUGGGGAGCAAACAGGAUUAGAUACCCUAGUAGUC
rnacentral:rRNA from 1 species